GUAGAGCUGCACAUCACAGUCCGUAUCCAGGUUACCCUGAUGGGCAGGACACACUCCCAUCACCUGGGACUCCUGGCACCCUGGGGGAGGGCUGUGCCUUCAGGACUCGCCUUAGACCGGGAGGAGCCAUGGAAGGAUUUUUCUGGAGAGGAGGAGUGGAGGUAAAUCUACAAUUCAGCACCUCUCCCUCCACACAGUGGACGGAUUGAGGGGUGAUUGAUUGGCAGGGGAGGUGCUCUAGUUUCCGUCAGGAAAGGAAACCCU
rnacentral:lncRNA from 1 species